UACAGAGGGAGCUAGCGUUGUUCGGAAAUACUGGGCGUAAAGCGCACGUAGGCGGCGCAGCAAGUCAGGGGUGAAAUCCCGGGGCUCAACCCCGGAACUGCCCUUGAAACUGCAGUGCUAGAAUUCUGGAGAGGCGAGUGGAAUUCCGAGUGUAGAGGUGAAAUUCGUAGAUAUUCGGAAGAACACCAGUGGCGAAGGCGACUCGCUGGACAGACAUUGACGCUGAGGUGCGAAAGCGUGGGGAGCAAACAGG
rnacentral:rRNA from 1 species